CGCACAUUGCGCCCCUCGGUACUCCGGGGGGCAUGCCUGUCCGAGCGUCAUUGAAGACUAUCAAGCCUGGCUUGGUCUUGGGCGAGGUCUAGGGACCCGCCCGCAACCCGUCGGCGGUGCCGGUUCGGCCCUGAGCGUAGUAAAAAACUCGCUCGAGAGCUGCAGCGGUGCCCGCCAGCAGAUUCUACCCAUAGAUUGACCUCGGAUCAGGUAGGGAUACCCGCUGAACUUAA
rnacentral:misc_RNA from 1 species